GAUUUUAAGCUUCCUACGGGAGGCUGCAGUGGGGAAUUUUGGACAAUCUGGCGCAAGCCUGAUCCAGCAAUGCCGCGUGCAGGAAGAAGGCCUUCGGGUUGUAAACUGCUUUUGUACGGAGCGAAAAGGCUCUCUCUAAUACAGGGGGCUCAUGACGGUACCGUAAGAAUAAGCACCGGCUAACUACGUGCCAGCAGCCGCGGUAAUACGUAGGGUGCAAGCGUUAAUCGGAAUUACUGGGCGUAAAGCGUGCGCAGGCGGUUUUGUAAGACAGGCGUGAAAUCCCCGGGCUCAACCUGGGAAUGGCGCUUGUGACUGCAAAGCUGGAGUGCGGCAGAGGGGGAUGGAAUUCCGCGUGUAGCAGUGAAAUGCGUAGAUAUGCGGAGGAACACCGAUGGCGAAGGCAAUCCCCUGGGCCUGCACUGACGCUCAUGCACGAAAGCGUGGGGAGCAAACAGGAUUAGAUACCUUGUAGUCGAAUUCU
rnacentral:rRNA from 1 species